CCAGUUUGUCUCGUAAAAUGAUUACAUACUGCUGAAAGCUACGUGACUAUUGAAAGGCAUAGAUGCCACGUAAUUUACGCGAGUGUUAUUUGUUUGUGUAUCGGUAAGAAAAUAAAUAUGAAGUUUGAAAUUAAACAAGGGGGUCAGUCUUUUUUUAAUACAUUCUUGCAUUAACUUGUAUUAAUAUUGAAAUAUAGUGAGAUUUUAUUGACAGCUAUUUAAUUCUGUUGUCCGUCUUUCUUACCUGACACUAUUUCUUGAGAGGUCAUUUGAAGAAGAAGUGCGAGCUGUUGUCGCUCGGACAUCCGCGCUGGGUAACCGCGGAAACGACUGUUACCGCCUGCGGGCAUUCCGUCGUCAUAACUCAUGUAACUCGGGCCCAAAAACGCACGAGGAUCGCGGUGUAGAAGUUGAAGAAGAAAAUGCCACGCGUGGAUAGACGCUUGUCUUUAUUUUCAGGCCCCCCGUAAUUUGCCACGAGCGAAGAUAACCUAAAAUCGUACGGUCGGUUCACGCCAUUUUGACCUACCGAGCGCGCACAGAUAUGUGAAUCGACAGUCACGCGACACGUACGCAACCACACGCGCCAAAACCGAUUGCAUCUGAUAAACACUAAGGAUUGUUUCUUCCGAUUUAUGCACUCUUAUUUCCCGGGCCAAUGAUUUGAUUUCACGACGCGGCAUGUGUGUGCGUGCUCUUUCGAAAACGAGAUUCGCGACACACGACUCAGGACACAGUGCGCAAUAUGACGCAACGUUUGUUUUGUGUUUACAGUUGGUAUCUCUGUCGGUAGUGUUCGUCGCGCCAAUAUUCAAAUCAAUAUAAUUAAAACGGUCGUUGAAAAUAUGUGAUACUAAUUAAUUUAGUGCAAGAUAAAUUAUCAAAAUUCUAAUGGGCAACUGAUUUUUUUUUUU